AACGAACGCUGGCGGCAUGCCUAACGCAUGCAAGUCGAACGAUUGCCUUCGGGUGAUAGUGGCGCACGGGUGCGUAACGCGUGGGAAUCUGCCCUUAGGUUCGGAAUAACAGCUGGAAACGGCUGCUAAUACCGGAUGAUAUCGCGAGAUCAAAGAUUUAUCGCCUGAGGAUGAGCCCGCGUUGGAUUAGGUAGUUGGUGGGGUAAAGGCCUACCAAGCCGACGAUCCAUAGCUGGUCUGAGAGGAUGAUCAGCCACACUGGGACUGAGACACGGCCCAGACUCCUACGGGAGGCAGCAGUGGGGAAUAUUGGACAAUGGGCGCAAGCCUGAUCCAGCAAUGCCGCGUGAGUGAUGAAGGCCCUAGGGUUGUAAAGCUCUUUUACCCGGGAAGAUAAUGACUGUACCGGGAGAAUAAGCCCCGGCUAACUCCGUG
rnacentral:rRNA from 1 species